GAUGAACGCUGGCGGCGUGCCUAAUACAUGCAAGUCGAGCGAACAGAUGAGGAGCUUGCUCCUCUGACGUUAGCGGCGGACGGGUGAGUAACACGUGGAUAACCUACCUAUAAGACUGGGAUAACUUCGGGAAACCGGCGCUAAUACCGGAUAAUAUAUUGAACCGCAUGGUUCAAUAGUGAAAGACGGUUUUGCUGUCACUUAUAGAUGGAUCCGCGCCGCAUUAGCUAGUUGGUAAGGUAACGGCUUACCAAGGCAACGAUGCGUAGCCGACCUGAGAGGAUGAUCGGCCACACUGGAACUGAGACACGGUCCAGACUCCUACGGGAGGCAGCAGUAGGGAAUCUUCCGCAAUGGGCGAAAGCCUGACGGAGCAACGCCGCGUGAGUGAUGAAGGUCUUCGGAUCGUAAAACUCUGUUAUUAGGGAAGAACAAAUGUGUAAGUAACUAUGCACGUCUUGACGGUACCUAAUCAGAAAGCCACGGCUAACUACGUG
rnacentral:rRNA from 1 species